rnacentral:ncRNA from 1 species
GUUUGGUCCUGGCCUUGAAGUCAGUUUUUACUUAAUAUACACAUGCAAGUCUCCGCACCCCUGUGAAAACGCCCUCAUUUUCCCUUAUAGGGAACAGGAGCCGGUAUCAGGCUCAACUUUUGCCCAUCACACCUAGCCUCGCCACACCCACAAGGGAACUCAGCAGUGAUAAACAUUGAAUAUAAGCGACAGCUUGACUCAGUUAAAUUAAAUAGAGCCGGCCAAUCUGGUGCCAGCCGCCGCGGUUACACCAUGUGGCUCAAAUUGACUUUCAUCGGCGUAAAGCGUGAUUAAAGCUAAAUCACUCUUGGAGUUAAACUGAAACUAAGCCGUGACACGCUUGUUACCUAAGAAAAUCUAAAGCGAAAGCUACUCCAAUCAACUCAACUUGAAUUCACGAUAACUGAGUAACAAACUGGGAUUAGAUACCCCACUAUGCUCAGUCUUAAACUUUAACUUACACCUCUAUCGCCCGGGAACUACGAGCUAAGCUUAAAACCCAAAGGACUUGACGGUACCCCAUAUCCCCCUAGAGGAGCCUGUCCUAUAAUCGAUAAUCCCCGUUUAACCUCACCAUUUUUUGCUAAUCAGCCUGUAUACCUCCGUCGUCAGCUUACCACGUGAGCGUCAGUGAGCUUAAUGUUUAUCCAACCACACGUCAGGUCAAGGUGCAACAUAUAAAAUGGAAAGAGAUGGGCUACACUUUCUACCUUAGAACAAACCAAAGACUAAAUGAAACCUAGUCAGAAGGCGGAUUUAGCAGUAAAAUGAAACUAGAGCAUUCAUUUAAAUCUGGCACUGGGGUGUGUACACACCGCCCGUCACCCUCCUCAAUUCUAUAUAAAAGUCUCUAACAUCUUUUUAGGAACUCAGAAGAGGCAAGUCGUAACAUGGUAAGUAUACCGGAAGGUGUGCUUGGAAU